GAUGAACGCUAGCGGCAGGCUUAAUACAUGCAAGUCGAGGGGCAGCAUGAAUGUAGCAAUACAUUUGAUGGCGACCGGCAAACGGGUGCGGAACACGUACACAACCUUCCUAUAAGUGGGGAAUAGCCCAGAGAAAUUUGGAUUAAUACCCCGUAACAUAAUGAUGUGGCAUCACAUUAUUAUUAUAGCUACGGCGCUUAUUGAUGGGUGUGCGGCUGAUUAGAUAGUUGGCGGGGUAACGGCCCACCAAGUCUACGAUCAGUAGCUGAUGUGAGGGCAUGAUCAGCCACACGGGCACUGAGACACGGGCCCGACUCCUACGGGAGGCAGCAGUAAGGAAUAUUGGUCAAUGGACGCAAGUCUGAACCAGCCAUGCCGCGUGAAGGAUUAAGGUCCUCUGGAUUGUAAACUUCUUUUAUCUGGGACGAAAAAAGGCGAUUCUUCGUCACUUGACGGUACCAGAUGAAUAAGCACCGGCUAACUCCGUGCCAGCCGCCGCAGUAACAC
rnacentral:rRNA from 1 species